GAUGAACGCUGGCGGCGUGCCUAAUACAUGCAAGUCGAGCGAACAGACGAGGAGCUUGCUCCUCUGACGUUAGCGGCGGACGGGUGAGUAACACGUGGAUAACCUACCUAUAAGACUGGGAUAACUUCGGGAAACCGGAGCUAAUACCGGAUAAUAUAUUGAACCGCAUGGUUCAAUAGUGAAAGACGGUUUUGCUGUCACUUAUAGAUGGAUCCGCGCCGCAUUAGCUAGUUGGUAAGGUAACGGCUUACCAAGGCAACGAUGCGUAGCCGACCUGAGAGGGUGAUCGGCCACACUGGAACUGAGACACGGCCCAGACUCCUACGGGAGGCAGCAGUAGGGAAUCUUCCGCAAUGGGCGAAAGCCUGACGGAGCAACGCCGCGUGAAUGAUGAAGGUCUUCGGAUCGUAAAACUCUGUUAUUAGGGAAGAACAAAUGUGUAAGUAACUAUGCACGUCUUGACGGUACCUAAUCAGAAAGCCACGGCUAACUACGUG
rnacentral:rRNA from 1 species